AUAAUUUGGAUAGUAAAUUAGUUAUUUUUUUUAUAAAAGAAUUUAUGGUUAAAAAAAAAAAUUUUUUUUUUAUUAUUUUAUGAAAAAAUUAAUUUUAUUAUAGUAAAUUAGUAUUGAGAAAGAAAAGUUUUAUUUUAAUAAAAGAAUAAUUUAUUUUUAGUACCUUGUGUAUCAGGGUUAAUUAAAUAAAAUAUUAUUAAUUGAUAUUUCUCGAAUUUAAAAGAGCUAUAAUUGUAUAAUUUUUAAUGUAAAAUAAUUAUUAUUAAUAUAAUUAUAGAAAUGAAAUGUUAGUCGUUUUUAAAUAUAUCUAGUUUUUUAAGAAAAAAAUUUAAUUUUUUUUUUAUUUAUUAUAAGAUUAAUUUUAAUAAUUUUAUAUUAAUAAAAUAUUAUAUUUUUAGGGAUAAGCUUAGGGGUAUAUCAAAUAUAAUAUAGAAUAAAUAAUUUUAGUAAAUAGAAUUAUAAGUUUUUAUUUUAUUAAGUGUUUUAUAACUAUACUAAAUAAAUAGUAAGAUUUUUAUAUUAUUUAUGUUUUUUAUUAAAAUAUAAGUUUUAAUAAAUUAAAUUUGGAAAUUAUGAUUAAAUUAGUAUAAAUAAGUUUUUAUAUGAAUUAUUAAUAGAAAGGUUAAUUUAAGGAAUUCGGCAAAUAUAUUUUUCACCUGUUUAUUAAAAACAUGGUUUUUUGAGUAUAAUUUAAGAUUAGGCCUGCUCAAUGAAAAUUAAAUAGCUGCAGUAUAUUGACUGUACAAAGGUAGCAUAAUCAUUAGUUUUUUAAUUGAAAGCUUGUAUGAAUGGUUUGAUGAGGGAAUUACUGUCUCUUUUUAAUUUAUUUAAAAUUUUAUUUUUAAGUAAAAAAGCUUAAAUAUUUAUAGAAGACGAGAAGACCCUAUAGAGUUUAAUAUUUUAAUUUUUUUAGUAUUUUAGAAUUUUGUUUCUAAAUAAAAAUAAGUAUUUAGUUGGGGUGAUUAAAAAAUUAAAAUAACUUUUUUUUUAAUAUAUCAUUAAUUUAUGAAUAUUUGAUCUUUUAAGAAUGAUUAUAAGAUAAAUUACCUUAGGGAUAACAGCGUAAUUUUUUUUUAGAGUUCAAAUUAAAAAAAAAGAUUGCGACCUCGAUGUUGGAUUAAAAUAAAUUAUUGGUGUAGGAGCUAAUUAAGGAGAGUCUGUUCGACUUUUAAAAUUUUACAUGAUCUGAGUUUAAACCGGCGUGAGCCAGGUUGGUUUCUAUCUCUAUAAAAAUAUAAUGUUUUAGUACGAAAGGAUUGAAUAUUAAAUUAUAUAAUUUAUAAAAUGGAGUGAAAAUAAGUUGUUUUGGCAGAUUAGUGCUAUAAAUUUAGAAUUUAUGAAAGUAGAAAUAUUACAAA
rnacentral:rRNA from 1 species